AAGUCGUAACAAGGUAACCGUAGGUGAACCUGCGGUUGGAUCAUUAACAAAACCAAAUAGAAGAUCUCAUUUAUUUGAGUUCUAUCUACCGCAUAAUGUGAACUAUACAUGUCUCUGGUGUGUAAAUUAAUCAGUUUUCAUUUUGGAUACUGUUUACACACCAGUUUUUAAAUAUUAAACUUUUCCAAUCUUAUGAAGUCUAAAAAUGUUUAAAACAAAAAAUCAAUUACAACUUUUGACAACGGAUCUCUAGGCUCUC
rnacentral:misc_RNA from 1 species